AACCACGAUCAUUUUCUGCAACAUAUUUCAAAUUUGAUUCUUGGUUUAAUUUCCAGAAAGUAACUUUUCAAAAACAUGGAAAAAAGUCGUACAAACAUAUUUUCUUUAUAUUUAAUGAUCACUUUUUUACUAAUAUCAACUUUCAUCACGAUCACUGAAUCAAGCGUCAUAGAUGUUCCGAUUCAAUGUCCUGCUGAUCAUGUACAAGUUGGUGAAAACUGCCGCAAGAAAUUCUGAAUCUAAAAACAGGAAAAUCUGACAGUAAUACAAUUGCAGUACAUAUUUGAGAAACAGUGGAGAGAAUCAUAUAAGCAAAGAAUAAAUUAACAGACAAAAAUAAACUAUCAUGCAAAUAU